rnacentral:rRNA from 1 species
AGUGAACGCUGGCGGUAGGCCUAACACAUGCAAGUCGAGCGGCAGCACAGUAAGAGCUUGCUCUUACGGGUGGCGAGUGGCGGACGGGUGAGGCAUACAUCGGAAUCUACUUUUUCGUGGGGGAUAACGUAGGGAAACUUACGCUAAUACCGAAUAUGACCUACGGGUGAAAGCAGGGGAUCUUCGGACCUUGCGCGAUUGAAUGAGCCGAUGUCGGAUUAGCUAGUUGGCGAGGUAAAGGCCCACCAAGGCGACGAUCCGUAGCUGGUCUGAGAGGAUGAUCAGCCACACUGGAACUGAGACACGGUCCAGACUCCUACGGGAGGCAGCAGUGGGGAAUAUUCGACAAUGGGCGCAAGCCUGAUCCAGCAAUACCGCGUGGGUGAAGAAGGCCUUCGGGUUGUAAAGCCCUUUUGUUGGGAAAGAAAAGCAGCAGGUUAAUACCCCGCUGUUCUGACGGUACCCAAAGAAUAAGCACCGGCUAACUUCGUG